rnacentral:rRNA from 1 species
GGGGGGGGCAAGCGUUUGUUCGGAAUUACUGGGCGUAAAGGGCGCGCAGGCGGCCUGGCCAGUCCUACGUGAAAUCCCACAGCUCAACUGUGGAACUGCGUGGGAUACUGCCAGGCUUGAGUCCGGGAGAGGAGAGUGGAAUUCCCAGUGUAGCGGUGAAAUGCGUAGAUAUUGGGAGGAACACCGGUGGCGAAGGCGGCUCUCUGGACCGGCACUGACGCUGAGGCGCGAAAGCUAGGGGAGCAAACGGGGGAUUAGAUACCCCGGUAGUCCUAGCCCUAAACGAUGAGCACUUGGUGUGGCGGGUAUCGACCCCCUGCCGUGCCGAAGCUAACGCAUUAAGUGCUCCGCCUGGGGAGUACGGUCGCAAGGCUG